rfam:Triticum aestivum genome assembly, contig: Triticum_aestivum_CS42_TGACv1_scaffold_641735_T_2BL-0.230604_4BS-0.161660
CUAGUACUCCCUCCGUCCCAAAAUUCUUGUCUUAGAUUUGUCCAAAUACGGAUGUAUCAAGUCACGUUCCGUAUCUAGACAAAUCUAAGACAAGAAUUUUGGGACGGAGGGAGUAUUAU